GACGAACGCUGGCGGCGUGCUUAACACAUGCAAGUCGAACGGAAAGGCCCCCUUGUGGGGUACUCGAGUGGCGAACGGGUGGGUAACACGUCAGUAACCUACCCUUGACUUUGGGAUAACUUCCUGAAACCGGGGCUAAUACCGGAUAGGAGCUCCUGCCGCCUGGUGGGGGUUGGACAGUUUCGGCGGUUGGGGGUGGAGUCGCGGCCUAUCAGCUUGUUGGUGGGGUAGGGGCCUACCAGGGCUUUGACGGGUACCAGGCCUGAGAGGCGGACCGGCCACAUUAGGCCUGAGAUACGGCACAGACUCGAACGGGAGGCAGCGGUGGAGAGGAGUGCACAAGAGGAGGAAGCCUGAUGCAGCAAAGCCGCGUGGGGGAUGACGGCAUGCGGGUAGGAAAGUGCUUUCGCCUGUGACGAAACGUGAGUGACGGUACUGGGUAAAGAAGCACCGGCUAACUACGUG
rnacentral:rRNA from 1 species